rnacentral:sRNA from 1 species
AGAACAGGCCUUUCAGGCAUCCUCUCCUAAGACUCAUGGGCCGGCCUCUUCGAGGCUGGCCCUUUUUUUUUGCGCGG